GAUAGCUUGCUAUCAGGCGUCGAGCGGCGGACGGGUGAGUAAUACUUAGGAAUCUACCUAGUAGUGGGGGAUAGCACGGGGAAACUCGUAUUAAUACCGCAUACGACCUACGGGAGAAAGGGGGCAGUUUACUGCUCUCGCUAUUAGAUGAGCCUAAGUCGGAUUAGCUAGAUGGUGGGGUAAAGGCCUACCAUGGCGACGAUCUGUAGCUGGUCUGAGAGGAUGAUCAGCCACACCGGGACUGAGACACGGCCCGGACUCCUACGGGAGGCAGCAGUGGGGAAUAUUGGACAAUGGGGGAAACCCUGAUCCAGCCAUGCCGCGUGUGUGAAGAAGGCCUUUUGGUUGUAAAGCACUUUAAGCAGUGAAGAAGACUCCGUGGUUAAUACCCACGGACGAUGACAUUAGCUGCAGAAUAAGCACCGGCUAACUCUGUGCCAGCAGCCGCGGUAAUACAGAGGGUGCAAGCGUUAAUCGGAAUUACUGGGCGUAAAGGGAGCGUAGGUGGCUCUAUAAGUCAGAUGUGAAAUCCCCGGGCUUAACCUGGGAACUGCAUCUGAAACUGUAGAGCUAGAGUAUGUGAGAGGGAGGUAGAAUUUCAGGUGUAGCGGUGAAAUGCGUAGAGAUCUGAAGGAAUACCGAUGGCGAAGGCAGCCUCCUGGCAUAAUACUGACACUGAGGCUCGAAAGCGUGGGUAGCAAACAGGAUUAGAUACCCUGGUAGUCCACGCCGUAAACGAUGUCUACUAGUCGUUGGGUCCCUUGAGGACUUAGUGACGCAGCUAACGCAAUAAGUAGACCGCCUGGGGAG
rnacentral:rRNA from 1 species